rnacentral:tRNA from 2 species
GCCCAGGUAGCUCAGUUGGUAGAGCAGCGGAUUGAAAAUCCGCGUGUGGUUGGUUCGAUUCCGACCCUGGGCACUA